rnacentral:sRNA from 1 species
AGUCGGCGAUCUUCGGCGGUUCAUUCCUCCCGACCCGCUACGUCGGCUGUUCCCCCUCUGGAGGUUCUUGACCUUCACACCUCGAGGCCCGGCUUUACGCCCGUGGCCUCUUUUU